GCACUGGUCCUUCUUUAUUGUCUACUUCCUGUGAUCCUGACUGAUAAGUUAUAAGGUAACAGCAAUCAUAUCUGACAAUAAAUCAAUGCCAGAAUCAUAAAAUUUCAGUGAUAAAAGGCAGCUAGGUGGGCUUAUCAUUCAAAUGAGAAAACAGGCCAAGAGAGACUAACUGAUUCAUACAAGGUCAACUGACAGGUUGCAUAAGACUCUUCAAGUACCCACACCUCUCUUAUAUCAUUUGACAGAAAGAGUAAUCCUAUGAUACAUUGAAAUUGGGUGGUUUUUUUCCGCAUUUUCUCAUCCAUGAGAUCAUUUUAUCCCCACAACAACUCUGGGAAGUAGGAAUGGAGAAACUUACUUGUUCAUGUUUAUAGGUAAUGCUAUGGGGUCAGCAAGGGCAAGAUCCUUGCCCAAGGUCCCACACGGAGUACAGUUGUAGAAAUUUGUAUGGCUCUGGGCUCUUUUUGUUGCAUCAUACUGGAAUUAAAAAGUGAAUUUGUUCUCAGGGAUCUUCUACAUAAUUAAAAUAGAAAGCGAGUCGAGAGACUAAUCCUGGUCAAAGUUUUCAAAAUUUUACCAUUGUAAGUUGCAUAUUGUAUCUGUCUUAUAACAAAGAUGAAUGCAAGGAUGAUGGAGCUUUAAUUCAUGUGCAUAACAUUCAAAUAAUGGAAUUUGGGGAAAAUAAUAAAAAUAGGUAACAUGAAGUUAAAUUUAGAGACUUUUAUUUAUGGAAUGAAUAAAAAAUUCCCUUUUUAAUUCUCAGGAGGUGAGGAAAUGGAGGUUCUGAAAUUUGCUAUAAUUUGCCUCAGAUCCUAUAGCUGGUACAAGAUAAAGGCCAGAUAAGAAUGCCAGUCUCCCAGUUCCCUGUGCCCUAUGCUGAUUGAAAGGCAGUGCUGUAUGAGGAAUUACCUAUGGGUUGUGAUACCGUCAAGUAAUGCCCUUGAGAAAGUGUCUUCCUCACUUCCUGAUAUCAACUCAGCUCUGGAAGCUCUCCAUGAGCAAGGCCUGAAAGCGAGCGUGGAGGGAGGCGACCGUGGGGCUGAUGGUGGUGUUGGAUGUGACUCACCACCUCGCUGCCCUCCCAGGCGCCCCCCGUGCUACUGCAAGUUCCACGGAUGGCCAGAAGGCAGCCUCCCAGCUCCCUUGGAAGGAAGGCAGAGAGAAAGCGUCAUCGGCUUCUCGGAGUUUGGCUUCGCGGGACUUCAACCCAACUCUGCUUGUCCAAGGAAGCAAAGAGCAGACAAGGCUCAUCUAGACCCCUCAAGAGAGAGCUAA
rnacentral:lncRNA from 1 species